CUUUGGGAAUCUACACUGCUUGUCAAGUAACAGUACUUUUACUUAACUACAAUAUUUGGCUACCCCUCCCACCUCUCCAGACCACACUUUAAGAAACAAUGUUCAAUCACAUCAUUUUUUUUUUUUUUUUGGGGGGGGGGUGGUUUGUGUUGUUUUGUUGUGUUUAUUGUAUUUGUGAGUUGGAAACCCUCAAAACCAGGGGUGUCAAACUUUUUCUCGCGGGCCACAUUGUUGUUCCGGUUUCCCUCAAAGGGCUGUUAUGACGUUGUCAUCUCAUCAUAUUUACAUAAUCAAUUUAUGAAUUCGUUUUGGAAUCGGAAAUCAAAGUCUGAAACGUUUCAAGGAUUACCCAUAUAAGGACGAGAAAGACUGACAACGAGGCUUCUUCUAACGACUUCACCGCUGGUCUGGGAAAACUACGCUGCUUGGAACACGGACACACGACGGACUGACUGAGCUAACUUCCUUGCAUUCCUCGCCAUGUCCACGGCGCCUGGCAAAAGGAGACAUCGACAUGCCGACGACCGCUUCGCCAGACAAUCAUUUGGCUUCGAGAGGAAGCGGCAAGAGUGGCGUGACAAAUGCUGCCACUCUGGUUCUGUUGAACUCCAUUCACAUAUUCAGUGGACUGAGAAAAGAAGCUCGUGGUAAUGCAAAUGUCAGUGUUAAAAGUAGAAAAGUGAAAGGGAAAAAAGGGAAAGUCUUCGGGGCUUCUGGCUCUUCUGGAGUUUCCCCCAUCUCUUUUGAUGGAAACUCUGCUCAAUAUUGUUUACAUGAAAUAAUGAUGUAUUUUUUUUUUUGGCAGCCUACUCUGAGCAAGCAUAACUUGAAGUUUUUCAUUUUGAUGUGCAAGAUUAAUACUUUGCAUCAGUCUCUUGAACAUAUUCCUCCAGCAUUACUUGAUUAGUGGGGAAAAAAAGGUUUCAAAGACAACCUCAGUGAAAUACAGUAAUCCACAUCAGUACUAUAUACUAUGUACAGUACAUUUUAUUCCAUAGUAAGUAAGUAAGUUUCUUUCGGCUUGUCCCGUUAGGGGUCGCCACAGCGUGACAUCUCAGAUGAACGCUCAUAUUUGUUUGGUAGUUUUUACACCGGAUGCACUUCCUGACGCAAUCCCUCUUGGGGAGUACAUUUUAUUCCAUUUAAUGUUUUAUUAUUAUUUUUGUUCUUACAUUUUUAAUGUUUAGUGUACCAAAAUCCUGCAAUAUAGUAAAUUACACAAUAAAUCUGCAAUGCACUUAAUCUACAAAAGGUGAACUGCAAUACAGCAAGGGAACAGUUCUUUUGGAUGUACUCUGACCUUCCGAGUUAACAUCCAUCCAUUUUGUUUGCCGCUUAUCCUCACAAGGAUCGCGGGGAGUGCUGGAGCCUAUCCCACCUGUCAACGGGCAGGAGGCAGGGUACACCCUGAACUGGUUUCCAGCCAAUCACAGGGCACAUAGAGAUAAACAGCCGCACUCACAAUCACACCAAGGGGCAAUUUAGAGUGUCCAAUUAUUGCCGAGUUAAUAUACCCCACAAAUUUAAUCUCACAUUUACCAUGCUCUAUAAACAUGACCCUAACACUGAUCCUUACCUUAAACCAAGUAAAUUUACGAUAACCAUAACCUUUACCCAACCCUCACCACCAAACACUAUCCCUGAAAAUAUCUUUUGUGACAGCCUUUUUAUUCAAGUGGCUCAUCAAAAUCUUCAUUAAGAGCAUUUUGAAUUAAUUAAUCAAGACUCAGUGAAGCAAAUUAAAGUAUUUCUCACUCACAACGAAAUCAGACUGAUGAAGCUUUUUAUGCAUUACUGAUAAAGAACUUAUAUGUAGAAAUUUUUUUUUGUGUGCGACGGGACCAAACUCAAUUUUAGACUCGAUAAAGAACUCGCGGAAAGUUGGUGCAAAACAACUGUUCUUGGGGGAAAAAAAAACAAGUAGCAUCCACAAAUAUGAAUCAAAGUGGCAAACCCCAUAAAACAAUGUAUUUAAUCUAAAAUACAUUAUGAGGUGUGUUGGAAAAGUUACAGGACUGGUGUCAAAAAAGGUUUCUCCAUCCAUCCAUCCAUCCAUCCAUCCAUCCAUCCAUCCAUCCACAAUACUACUUAUCCCGUUCAGGGUCGCAGGGUGCUGGAGCUCGUUUGAAAAGUCCAGUCACUUUGGGUAAAGGCACCGUAAUUUCCGGCCUACAAGCUGUGACUUUUUUCACAUGCUUUCAACCCUGCGGUUUAUGCGGUAAUGCGGCGUUAGCGCACCUGGUAAUAAGCCUCGGUAUACAGAGUUUAACGCUAGCGCAGCACUGGCGUUAGCACGGCGCUAGCAUUAGCGCGGCGCUAGUGUUAAACUCUUUCUGUGUACCGAGGUUUAUAACCAGGUGCGCUCUGUAGGCCGGGAAUUAUGGUACUUUUGACAAACUCAGAAUGGUGUCCUAUAAACAAGUCCCUGUCUCUAGCAGAGCCAAUAAUCGACAUCUCAGUUUUCUCAGAGUUAAGAAGCAAAAAGUUACAAGACAGCCAUUGUUUAAUCUCAACGUGACACGCGUCCAGAUUACAGCAAUUGCAUGGGCUAGUUAGUUUUGACGGCUUGAAUAAUCAGGUAACGUCGACGUAAUAAUGAAAGCUAAUCUUACAUUUGCGUAUAUCACUAAGUGGCAGCAUCCAUCCAUUUAUUUUAUGAGCCACUUAUCCUCACAAGGGUCACGGUAGUGCUGGAGCCUAUCCCAUCUACUACACUCUGAACUGGUUGCCAGCCAAUCGCAGGACACAUUGUGACAGCCACACUCACGAUGACCCCCUAGGGGCAAUUUGGAGUGUCCAAUUAAUGUUGCAUGUUUUUGAGAUGUGGGAGGAAACUGCCGUACCUGGGGAAAAAAUACCCAGGCACAUGGAGAACAUGCAAACUCCACCUGGGCGGGGCCGGGAUUUGAACCCGGGAAUCUAACGCCCUAGCCAGAUGCCCCACCGUGCCGCCCACCAAGUGGCAACAUAUACUGUAAAUACUGAACAACAGCAAAGCCCACAGGUUCCCCUUGGAGACAUGCUGAUUGAUCUUCUGGCCCACAAUGAUGGGGAAAAUUCUUAAUUCUAAUAAAUUAAAUAUUUUGACAGCAGUCCUGACACACCUCACAUGAAAGUACAAUAUCUGUGGUCAUUACAGUCUAACAUUGAUCCAAGUGCACGAUUGGCUGCAGUAGAAGGCAAGGAGAGGUAAACUGAGGCCAUCACAUUUUCCCAUACCUGAUAUAAUAAUGAAAAAAAAUGUCCAGGUCAAUGUGAUGUUUAUUUUAGUCGAAAUGCAUCUAUCUGCCAGCCACUGAGAGAGACGUUAGCUAUGAGCGACUCCACACAUUUCCAACGUUCACAUGCACCUACUGAGUCAGACGCUUCAAAUAUUAUGGGCCGCAUAUGUUCCCUCUUCACAUGCACUCCUCCACACGCUGAGCAUACUGUAUAUUCCCGGAGUGCAAGUGUUCUUCCGCUCUCAUUUUAUAUAAGUGUUAAUAUAUGGAUAAGUGGACACUUCGUGGAGAAAUGUAAACCUGAGGAAUUAUGGAUGCAGAAAGGAAGCAGCGCUGCUGGACCAUAAAUUCGAUACGAGCUGAGGUGGUGAUGAACUGUAGAUGGAGGCUUCAAAACCGACGAUUUCAUCAACUUAAUUAAGCAAAUGAUUCGCUGUGAUUAACUACGAUGUUCGGUAAUUUUUGGUCGCACAUUCAUCACACAUGCCCCUCGAUUAACUGAACGAUUCUCUUCAGUUAAUAUUGUUAAUUGUAUUUUUUUUCCCCCAUCUAUUGCAUGAUUCCCUGGUCAAGUGCUUGAUUUUUCGGUUAAUCACACUGAAAUCAACAGUUCAUGUUUUCAAAACCACAACAAAUGAUAAAACACUCAUGAAGACUAGUCAGCAAAAAAGAUCUGCUUAAUGAGCACGCUUUAUUAAUUAAAACUGAUGUGAAUGUUGAAUAAUAAUCAUAAUGCUGAAUGCACACAAUGUUGGGUGAAGCCAAUGCUACAGCAAGAUUUUUUUUUAAUUGUAUAACCUAUGAUGCCAUAUCUUACCCAGGUUGUGGUGAGGUCCAGAAGUAAACUUGUAUUUAUAAAGGUUCCCUUGAAUGUUAGUAGAGUAGCAGCAAAAAAGAAGUACAAGAAGCGACACUGUUAGCUUGUCUAAUAACCACACUGCAGAUUUCUCCUUGUCUUAAGUAUUGUGGUGAGCGACUUGUAAGACGUUCAACACUUAAAAGGGAAGUUCGCUGUUUCAAAACCGCUAGCCCAGGGGGGCUCAAUGCGUCGAUCGUGAUCGACCGGGCAUUCUUGGUUAAUCGCGGGAUGGCGUGCCAAAAAAAAAAAAAAAAAAAAAAAAAAAAGACUUCAGCCACUGUUCCCUUGAAACUGCGCAUGCACAAUUGUGCACCGCUGAUGCAGUCUCUUCGCAGAUGUUCUGCAUUGCGCGCAAAAAAAGUAUAACAUACAGCUAUUCAGUUUGUGGGAUUUUGCAAUGUGAUUCAAUGAGUGACGGAUGACUGCUUGUUACAUCCAACGGCACAAUUCACAUACAUACUGUAAAAAAUUAAGAAGCCACUGGUUUCUUUUAGCCAGCACACGGAACUUUCUCUAACAACGACGCUGCUCCACCACAAUCUCUUAUUCCUAGUUUAUCUUACACCCCAACUGCAAAGACGUCCACUCAUAAUUACAAAUGUUACAGUACUUGCGCAGCCCAUUAUUGUGUUUUAUAAUGACAGCAUCCACCACUGCUGCUUUAGUUAGCAACACAGUCUGGGUAACGUAGAGCAAAGACAAGCUAGACAUGCUGCUUAUGUUUACUUUCGAUAUUAAGAGAGAAAGUUAAAAAAAAUAAAUGCUGUUUUAAGAUGCAAUGACUGUCGGAGUAUGUGAAUAAUCGAGGAAAAAGUGGUUAAACCGGACGUCUCUUUUCCGAGUGGGAAAGGUUUGGUCUGAAGCCAAAGUACAACGUGCAGGAUGAGAUGGUGUGUCAUUUUAAAAUUCCACCUUGGCACAGCCUGAUCCAGGAUGAAAGCACAAACAAUACAGUCCACAAAAAGUUAAUUCUGUAUUU